rnacentral:rRNA from 1 species
AAGCCAGACUCCUACGGGAGGCAGCAGUGGGGAAUAUUGCACAAUGGGGGAAACCCUGAUGCAGCGACGCCGCGUGAGUGAAGAAGUAUUUCGGUAUGUAAAGCUCUAUCAGCAGGGAAGAAAAUGACGGUACCUGACUAAGAAGCCCCGGCUAACUACGUGCCAGCAGCCGCGGUAAUACGUAGGGGGCAAGCGUUAUCCGGAUUUACUGGGUGUAAAGGGAGCGUAGACGGCAUGGCAAGUCAGAUGUGAAAGCCCGGGGCUCAACCCCGGGACUGCAUUUGAAACUGUCAGGCUGGAGUGCAGGAGAGGUAAGUGGAAUUCCUAGUGUAGCGGUGAAAUGCGUAGAUAUUAGGAGGAACACCAGUGGCGAAGGCGGCUUACUGGACUGUAACUGACGUUGAGGCUCGAAAGCGUGGGGAGCAAACAGGAUUAGAUACCCUAGUA